rnacentral:rRNA from 1 species
GAUGAACGCUGGCGGCGUGCCUAAUACAUGCAAGUCGAGCAAAUGGAUUAAGAGCUUGCUCUUAUGAAGUUAGCGGCGGACGGGUGAGUAACACGUGGGUAACCUGCCCAUAAGACUGGGAUAACUCCGGGAAACCGGGGCUAAUACCGGAUAACAUUUUGAACCGCAUGGUUCGAAAUUGAAAGGCGGCUUCGGCUGUCACUUAUGGAUGGACACGCGUCGCAUUAGCUAGUUGAUGAGGUAACGGCUCACCAAGGCAACGAUGCGUAGCCGACCUGAGAGGGUGAUCGGCCACACUGGGACUGAGACACGGCCCAGACUCCUACGGGAGGCAGCAGUAGGGAAUCUUCCGCAAUGGACGAAAGUCUGACGGAGCAACGCCGCGUGAGUGAUGAAGGCUUUCGGGUCGUAAAACUCUGUUGUUAGGGAAGAACAAGUGCUAGUUGAAUAAGCUGACACCUUGACGGUACCUAACCAGAAAGCCACGGCUAACUACGUGCCAGCAGCCGCAGUAA